rnacentral:rRNA from 1 species
AGGAUAUUCCGUGAGUAGUGGCGAGCGAAAGCGGAUGAUGGCCAAACCUUGCGCGUGUGAUACCCGUCGGGGGUUGCGCGCGGGGUGUUGCGGGAUCGCGUGCGCCGGCUCCGACGGGCCGGCCGGCAGUUGCAGAAAACCAUGUGUCAGGGGAACCGGGUUGAAUACCGGGCCGCAGAGGGUGAGGGCCCCGUACCUGAACGCGCAUGGUCUGCCGAUCGCGUCUCCCAAGUAGCACGGGUCCCGUGGAACCCCGUGCGAAUCCGCCCAGACCGUUGGGUAAGCCUGAAUAUUCCUGUCUGACCGAUAGCGAACGAGUACCGUGAGGGAAAGGUGAAAAGUACCCCGGGAGGGGAGUGAAACAGUCUCUGAAACCGUGCGCCUACAAUCCGUCGGAGCCCUUUUGUGGGGUGACGGCGUGCCUAUCGAAAAAUGAGUCUGCGAGUCAGUGGCAUGUGGCGAGCAUAACCCGUGUGGGGUAUGCGUAGCGAAGGCGAGUCUUAAAAGGCGUUUGAGUCGCGUGUCCUGGACCCGAAGCGGGAUGAUCUAGCCCUGAGCAGGUUGAAGCGCGGGUAAGACCGCGUGGAGGACCGAACCCACCUGGGUUGAAAACCGGGGGGAUGACUUGGGGCUAGGGGUGAAAGGCCAAUCAAAUUCCGUGAUAGCUGGUUCUCUCCGAAAUGCAUUUGGGUGCAGCGUCGGGUCAUUACGUCCCGGGGGUAGAGCUACUGGAUGCUUGCGGGCCCGUAUCGGGUACCAACAGCAACCAAACUCCGAAUACCGGUGACGCGUAUCCCGGCAGUGAGUCGGCGGGGGAUAAGCUUCGUCGUCGAAAGGGAAACAGCCCAGACCGUCGUCUAAGGUCCCGAAGCGUGUGCUAAGUGGGAAAGGAUGUGGAGUCGCAUAGACAGCCAGGAGGUUGGCUCAGAAGCAGCCACCCUUGAAAGAGUGCGUAACAGCUCACUGGUCUAGUGGUUCCGCGCCGACAAUGUAGCGGGGCUCAAGCACACCACCGAAGACGCGGCAGUAUUUUGUAC